AAGUCGUAACAAGGUUUCCGUAGGUGAACCUGCGGAAGGAUCAUUAAAGAGUAAGGGUGCUCAGCGCCCGACCUCCAACCCUUUGUUGUUAAAACUACCUUGUUGCUUUGGCGGGACCGCUCGGUCUCGAGCCGCUGGGGAUUCGUCCCAGGCGAGCGCCCGCCAGGGUUAAACCAAACUCUUGUAUUAAACCAGUCGUCUGAGUAUAAAAUUCUAAUUAAAUUAAAA
rnacentral:misc_RNA from 1 species